rnacentral:rRNA from 1 species
AGUGAACGCUGGCGGUAGGCCUAACACAUGCAAGUCGAACGGCAGCACAGGAGAGCUUGCUCUCUGGGUGGCGAGUGGCGGACGGGUGAGGAAUACAUCGGAAUCUACUCUGUCGUGGGGGAUAACGUAGGGAAACUUACGCUAAUACCGCAUACGACCUACGGGUGAAAGCAGGGGACCUUCGGGCCUUGCGCGAUUGAAUGAGCCGAUGUCGGAUUAGCUAGUUGGCGGGGUAAAGGCCCACCAAGGCGACGAUCCGUAGCUGGUCUGAGAGGAUGAUCAGCCAGACUGGAACUGAGACACGGGCCAGACUCCUACGGGAGGCAGCAGUGGGGAAUAUUGGACAAUGGGCGCAAGCCUGAUCCAGCCAUACCGCGUGGGUGAAGAAGGCCUUCGGGUUGUAAAGCCCUUUUGUUGGGGAAGAAAUCCAGCUGGCUAAUACCCGGUUGGGAUGACGGUACCCAAAGAAUAAGCACCGGCUAACUUCGUGCCAGCCGCCGCGGUAA